rnacentral:rRNA from 1 species
GACGUAGGGUGCAAGCGUUGUCCGGAAUCAUUGGGCGUAAAGAGCGUGUAGGCGGCUCGAUAAGUCCGCUCUGAAAGCCCGGGGCUCAACCCCGGGAGGCGGGCGGAUACUGUCGAGCUAGAGUCCGGAAGAGGCGAGUGGAAUUCCUGGUGUAGCGGUGAAAUGCGCAGAUAUCAGGAGGAACACCAAUGGCGAAGGCAGCUCGCUGGGACGGUACUGACGCUGAGACGCGAAAGCGUGGGGAGCAAACAGG